UACGUAGGGGGCAAGCGUUGUCCGGAUUUAUUGGGCGUAAAGAGCGUGUAGGCGGCUUGGUAGGUCCGCUGUGAAAACUCGAGGCUCAACCUCGAGAUGUCGGCGGAAACCACUUGGCUAGAGUCCGGAAGAGGAGAGUGGAAUUCCCGGUGUAGCGGUGAAAUGCGCAGAUAUCGGGAAGAACACCUAUGGCGAAGGCAGCUCUCUGGGGACGGUACUGACGCUGAGACGCGAAAAGCGU
rnacentral:rRNA from 1 species